AGAAGAAACACGAAGAAGAAGAAGAAGAACAUCACGAGCAUCAACCGCAGUUUUAUUUUGUGUUUGUUGAUUCUUAUCUCCGUGUAUUUUAGUGUUGAUGAUGGGAGAUGAGAUGGAUGCGAUUUGCUGUAAAUCAGAAGAAACUGAUGAGGGUUUACAGGAUGAUGAAUCUACUGAUCAAACCUCCACAGAGUCUCUGGAUUCUGUCUGGAACGCUGGAGAACAGCAGCAGAUCCUGCAGACCAAACUCAACAUGUGUUCAGUCAAACUCAUCGACUGCACGAACCUCAUGAUGAAGAUCAAAACUGAACCCACAGAAAUAACAACUGAAGCUACAGAAAUAAAAACUGAACUCACAGAAGUAGGCCUCAAAACUGAACCCACAGCAGAGGAAGAUCACACUGAUGAAGAUGAGGACAACGACGAUUUAAUUCCUUCUGAUGUGAAUAGUGAAUCAUGUUCUGAUGGAGAAACGUCCUCAACAUCAAAAGAGCGACGGACAACAAAAACUCUUUCCCGCAUCACCUGUGGAAAGACAUUCAGCUCACAGAGACAUUUAGAGAGACAUGAGAGAAAACACACAAAACAGAAACUCUUCACCAGAUCUGAGAUCAGCUUUACUAUCUUACAAGAGAAGAAACUUCAUUCAGAAGAGCACACAGACAAGAAGUUGUUUCAUUGUGAGCAAUGUGGGAUAGAUUUUGACUUCUUAUCUCAGCUGAAAAGACACUUGAGGACACACAGUGGUGAAAAACCUUUCUACUGCACCGAAUGUGGCAAGUAUUUUAGAACCAAAGGAAAUCUUGAUGUUCAUCAGAGAGUUCACACAGGAAAGAAACCUCAUCACUGUAAUGUUUGUGGAAAGAGUUUCUGUCGACAUCAACAUUUAGUGACACACCAGAGAACUCAUACAGGUGAAAAACCUUAUAAAUGCUCUCAGUGUGGGAAGACUUUUGCUCGGUUAUAUUCCUUAACAGUCCAUCUGAGAGUUCACACUGGAGAGAAACCUCAUCAUUGUAGUGUUUGUGGGAAAAGUUUUAGUCAACAUGACAAUUUAAUGACACACCAGAGAACUCAUACAGGUGAAAAACCUUACAAAUGCUCUCAUUGUGAGAAGACUUUUUCUUGGGUAUAUUCCUUAAAAACCCAUGAGAGAAUUCACACUGGAGAGAAACCUUACACCUGCUCUCAAUGUGGAAAGAGCUUCUCUGAUCCAUCUCAUUUGAGAGUUCAUCAGAGAGUUCACACUGGAGAGAAACCUCAUCACUGCAAUGUUUGUGUGAAGAGUUUCAGUCAACUUUACAGUUUAGUGAAACACCAGAGAACUCAUACAGGUGAAAAACCUUACAAAUGCUCUCAGUGUGGGAAGAUGUUUGCCGAGUCAAGUAACUUAAAAGCCCAUGAGAGAAUUCACACUGGAGAGAAACCUUACGUCUGCUCUCAAUGUGGAAAAAGCUUCACUGAUCCAAGUACUUUCAGAGUUCAUCAAAGAGUUCACAGUGGAGAAAAACCUCAUCACUGUAAUGUUUGUGGAAAGAGUUUCAGUCGACAUCAACAUUUAGUGACACACCAGAGAACUCAUACAGGUGAAAAACCUUACAAAUGCUCUCAGUGUGGGAAGACUUUUGCUCGGUUGUAUUCCUUAACAGUCCAUAAGAGAGUUCACACUGGAGAGAAACCUUACGUCUGCUCUCAAUGUGGAAAGAACUUCUCUAGUUCAUUUGCUUUCAGAGUCCAUCAGAGAGUUCACACUGGAGAGAAACCUCAUCACUGCAGUGUUUGUGGGAAGAGUUUCAGUCAACUUUACAAUUUAGUGAAACACCAGAGAACUCAUACAGGUGAAAAACCUUACAAAUGCUCUCAGUGUGGGAAGAUGUUUGCCGAGUCAAGUAACUUAAAAGCCCAUGAGAGAAUUCACACUGGAGAGAAACCUUACGUCUGCUCUCAAUGUGGAAAGUACUUCUCUAGUUCAUUUGCUUUUAGAGUCCAUCAGAGAGUUCACACUGGAGAGAAACCUCAUCACUGCAGUGUUUGUGGGAAGAGUUUUAGUCGACAUGACAAUUUAGUGUCACACCAGAGAACUCAUACAGGUGAAAGACUUUACGAAAGCCAUGUACUGGGUCAGGUUACUUAAAAGCUGUGUUAAUUUUGACAGCAAUUUUUCCAUAAGUUUUAGUCAUAGUAUUCUGACUAAGAUGCAAUUUAGUUUUAGUUUUUUUCGAAAAAAUAAAGGCUUUAAAUGGCAUUAAAAAAAAACAUAAAAUUUUAUUUCUACAGCCUUUUUUUAGUUUUGACGAAAAAUAUGAACAAAUAAUUUUUAAAGGCAGGGUAACACAUUUUGAAAAAUGCUAACGGUAGCCGCCUAGCAAUGAAAUCCCGAUCCCACCCUCAAGUCAAAUCGCCAUCUAAAGUCACGCCUCUUUUCAAACACAUGAACACGCACAGAUCAGACGGUCACAUCUCAUGUCUCAUUCACCAGUGAGAAAACUUUGCAGUACAAAGUGAAUAACACUUCCAAAAUAACCAAACAACUGGUUUACAUCAGAAUUAGUUUACCACACGUUAGGUUGCGUAGACGUAGUAACUAUAUCGUUACGCUAAUCCGUAAACGAACACAAAUUUCAUAAGCAAUACAAUGUUUCAUCAAAGUAGAAUAUCUGAAUCCAUCUCAGUACAAACAUAUCGCGUACCUACCUUACCAAAAUAAACAGUGCAAAGACCCUUUCAGACCCUUUGCCUCCUGCAGCUGUUUCAUCUCGUGGUAAAGCAGUAAAGUUACCGAUGUUAAUUUGGGUUUUUGCUCUUGCUGAUCCAGUCAGUUUUUGCUGUUGUUGUUAUAAAAGAUGUCUUUCAUUGUGUGCCUCCUGUGUUGGUUGUCAAUUCAGCAGAAAAGUUUGCUGUUCUCACUGUUUACAGACACCAGGAGGUGAGCGCACGUGAACGUGCCGAUGACGUAUGGUGUCUGCGUAGACUCGCUGCGCGGUGGGCAUUCAAAUUACGCUUGCGUAUGAGGGACAAAAAUGGAAACGUCCGUUCGGACCGAAAUCUAUGAUUUGUUGAACAUUUUUUGGUCCUACGCCUUUCACAGAUGACAUAAAUUUCUACAAAUACAUUUAAACAACUUAACACAGUGAUUGCUAUCAGGAUGUGAGGAGACUUUUAACCAGCAUAACAAAAAAUGUUUCAGGAUCAAAUCUGUUACCCUGCCUUUAAUGUAGUUUUAGAAUGAAUAACUGAUUUGUAGUGAAAUAUGUACAUUAGUGUGAUAACCAACGGAACUAGUUUAAUUGCUCUGGCUGGCACCAAAAUUGUGGUAACACGGCUGGUUGCAUCCUGGAAAAGUGCGAUGCACAGAAAGCACACUUUGGAGAUAUGGGAAAUUGCAAAUUCCAGCAAAAGUGGCUAGAAGAAGAUUAUAAGAGAUUUUUGCAGCCCAUUGGUGGUCAACAUGGAGAAGCAUUUUGCAGCGUUUGUAAAAAAAAUUAUGCUUGACACGAUGGGUGUAAAUGCCAUUAGAUCUCAUAUGCAGUUCAAUAGUCCCAAAUCGGCUGUAAAAGUCAGGCACAGUGGUUAACUAUAUCGAGUUACUUUUAAGUGACCGACAAAGUAACCUCAGGCAGUACUGCUACAACUGCUGCUUCUGUUACUGAAGGGAAACUGCGACCUUCGAGCGCAGUUUGGUUCAGAUGUGACGCUGCAGGCUGAGGUGUCUGAACAUUGCCAUGCAGCACUACUAGUACUCAUCCAAUGAAGGUGUUUCUGAGUUGUUCCAGGAAAUGUUUCCUGAUUCACAAAUAGCCAAAUCUUUUACCUGUGGAAAGGACAAAAACAAUUAAAAUGAGCAACUUCAUUCCACGUGACUGCUAGACUUCACUCGUUUAUGUACAGCAGAUAAAAAUGUCAGAUUCUAACCUCUAUCCCUUGAUGGAAAAAGUUAAAUCUGCAGUAUGGGAAUAUUUUGGGUAUCUGAAAAACAAACGUGGGGUUGUCCUUGAAGAUCCAGUUUGCAAGAAAUGUGGACGAAGAGUGGCUGCAAAACGAGGAAAUACAUGGAACAUGUGCUACCAUAUUCACGAACACAUCCCUCUGUGCAGAUAAAGAUGUGAAGAGUGAAUCAUGUUCUGAUGGAGAAACGUCCUCAAUAUCAAAAGAGCGAUGGACAGCACAAACUCUUUCCCGCAUCACCUGUGGAAAGACAUUCAGCUCAAAGAGACAUUUAGAGAGACAUGAGAGAAAAC